rnacentral:misc_RNA from 1 species
GAUGAAGAACGUAGCUAAAUGCGAUAAGUAGUGUGAAUUGCAGAAUUCAGUGAAUCAUCGAAUCUUUGAACGCACAUUGCGCCCCUUGGUAUUCCAUGGGGCAUGCCUGUUCGAGCGUCAUUUGUACCUUCAAGCUUUGCUUGGUGUUGGGUGUUUGUCUCGCCUUUGCGUGUAGACUCGCCUUAAAAUAAUUGGCAGCCGGCGUAUUGAUUUCGGAGCGCAGUACAUCUCGCGCUUUGCACUCAUAACGACAGCGUCCAAAAGUACAUUUUACACUCUUGACCUCGGAUCAGGUAGGGAUACCCGCUGAACUUAAGCAUAUCAAUAAGCGGAGGA